AACGCUGGCGGCGCGCUUAACACAUGCAAGUCGAGCGAGAACCGGGGCUUCGGCCCCGGGGACAGCGGCGAACGGGUGAGUAACACGUGGGUAAUCUGCCCUCGGUUCUGGGAUAGCCCGGGGAAACCCGGAUUAAUACCGGAUAGCCUCUCUGGCCUUUGGGCCGGCGAGAAAAGGUAGCUUCGGCCUCCGACCGAGGAUGAGCCCGCGGCGGAUUAGCUUGUUGGUGGGGUAACGGCUCACCAAGGCGACGAUCCGUAGCUGGUCUGAGAGGACGAUCAGCGACACGGGGACGGAGAAGCGGCCCAGACUCCUACGGGAGGCGGCAGUGGGGAAUCUUGCGCAAUGGGCGAAAGCCUGACGCAGCGACGCCGCGUGAGGGAAGAAGGCCUUCGGGUUGUAAACCUCUUUCAGGUGGGACGAAGCCACUCGGGUGAAUAGCCCAGAGGGUGACGGUACCUCCAGAAGAAGCCCCGGCUAACUGCGUGCCAGCCGCCGCGGUAA
rnacentral:rRNA from 1 species